AGAGGUGCGAUGAUUAUACAAAAUUCCUCGUCCUGACUGCUUCAGCAUGAAAGACCCAUUUACACCCAUAGAAUAUGAGCACC